GCCUUCGUAGUGUAGUGGUCUGCACGCUGGGCGCGCAUCCCAGAGGUCCGUAGUUCGAUUCCUGGCGAGGGCG
rnacentral:tRNA from 1 species